CAAUGCAGCCACACCACCCUGGUCGUGCCCGAGCUCAUCUGAUCUGAGAAACUAAGUAGAGUAGAGUAGGUACUUUAUUGA
rnacentral:rRNA from 1 species